UACGUAGGGUGCGAGCGUUAAUCGGAAUUACUGGGCGUAAAGCGUGCGCAGGCGGUUGUGCAAGACAGAUGUGAAAUCCCCGGGCUUAACCUGGGAAUUGCAUUUGUGACUGCACGGCUAGAGUGUGUCAGAGGGGGGGUAGAAUUCCACGUGUAGCAGUGAAAUGCGUAGAUAUGUGGAGGAAUACCGAUGGCGAAGGCAGCCUCCUGGGCCAACACUGACGCUCAUGCACGAAAGCGUGGGGAGCAAACAGG
rnacentral:rRNA from 1 species